rnacentral:rRNA from 1 species
GGAACUAGUUGUGGGGACCAUUCCACGGUUUCCGUGACGCAGCUAACGCAUUAAGUUCCCCGCCUGGGGAGUACGGCCGCAAGGUUAAAACUCAAAUGAAUUGACGGGGACCCGCACAAGCGGCGGAGCAUGCGGAUUAAUUCGAUGCAGCGCGAAGAACCUUACCAAGGCUUGACAUAUACGAGAACGGGCCAGAAAUGGUCAACUCUUUGGACACUCGUAAACAGGUGGUGCAUGGUUGUCGUCAGCUCGUGUCGUGAGAUGUUGGGUUAAGUCCCGCAACGAGCGCAACCCUCGUUCUAUGUUGCCAGCACGUAAUGGUGGGAACUCAUGGGAUACUGCCGGGGUCAACUCGGAGGAAGGUGGGGAUGACGUCAAAUCAUCAUGCCCCUUAUGUCUUGGGCUUCACGCAUGCUACAAUGGCCGGUACAAAGGGCUGCAAUACCGUGAGGUGGAGCGAAUCCCAAAAAGCCGGUCCCAGUUCGGAUUGAGGUCUGCAACUCAACCUCAUGAAGUCGGAGUCGCUAGUAAUCGCAGAUCAGCAACGCUGCGGUGAAUACGUUCCCGGGUCUUGUACACACCGCCCGUCAAGUCAUGAAAGUCGGUAACACCUGAAGCCGGUGGCCCAACCCUUGUGGAGGGAGCCGUCGAAGGUGGGA